UUGCUUGAAAAUAAAUUUUAUAACCUCUUUAUAUUGGUUAGGGAUACCCCGCCGAAAGAGCGCAUAAAAAAGCUCCGUGCUUGCACGUUGACCCCGCUUAAGAAGCAAAAUAAUGGAAAAUUGCUGACAGGCGUGCUUUUGCGUUUUCUCCCCCCGCGCGGUUUCGGGCGUGCGGCAUGUGACGAGCAUUUGACGGCAAUAAGCCGGGGUACAGAGCGGUCACGCGUGCGGCAUGCACGUCAACAUAUUGCCGUCAAUGCGCUGACGUGAUGUUAUCUGCACGGGGUAGCACAGUAUGGCACAGCGCGUGAUUUCGCACAGUUUUGGCAUGCAGUGAAAAAAAAACACAGCCAUUUUAACUGAAAUCGCACCAGUAAUCCGUCAUUGUACGAAGACUCGCCAAAAUUACCGUAGAGUUCAGUAGUUUUAAAGAAUCAGUUCGGUCGUUUUUGCUGGUGUCCCGCGUAAGCGACCAAUUUUACGAGUCGCGACUCGCCAAAACUACACGGAGAAACCUUUUCGUUGAAAAACACGAUGGAACUUGCGAAGUGUUUAUUUCGAUGAACAGUCACCGUAAAACAGUGUACGCGCACGCAAAAAGACGGUGCGAUCACCAAAAUUUACAGUGAUCGCUGCACUGAAAUAACAGGUGUUGAUGCGCGCCAUCUCGCGUGCACUGGAAAAAACGGUGAUCGCACUGUCUUUUAACACACUCGCUAAAACGUUCACUGUUAUUUUCAAUGAUUCGGGCUCUCCGUGUACCAGUGACACACCGUUGUUCUUACUGAACAGUCGUUACGGUGGCAGGGGCCGUAUUCUAUAAGCCAGUUACGAGAGUGAGAGCUGGCGAGAGCGAGAUAGGGUGUCACUCUCACCAGUCACCGCUAGAUGGUGACUGUGCCUUGAUUGGAGCGAAUGACGAGAGAGUCAAUGUUUUUGACAUGGAAUGGUUUUUAAAAACCGUAUGAAGAUGCAUUUAAAAAUACACAUUUUUUUUUUAAAGGGUAAAUAACCACAAUAAAAUGUAAUAAGUUUCUGUCAGGAUUUUAUACACACAAUUAGUCAACCUUCUGCUAGUCGAUUUAUACCAAAGGUAAUAAAUGCAAUUAAUAAUUUAUUAGCAGAACAGUAUCUACGUUUUCCAACCACGGAACAAGAAAGACAAAAUAUUCAACAAAGUUUUAGAAGAACUAUACGGGUACCAGGCAUAAUUGGUCUCAUUGACUGCCUUGUGAUAUGCAUAACACGUCCAUCACAGAAUGAAGAAGCAUUUUAUCAUUACUGACAUGGUCAUGGAAAAUUGUACAAAUUCUUGUAGAUUCCAAUUACAAUAUUUUAAAUAUUCGAAUCUGCCCUGGCAAUAAUAACGACAGGUAUGUCUGGCAGUUCUCAAAUGCAAGAGAAUACGUAGAGUCUCUAAGAAAUGAUCAACCUCAGAACAAUUACUAUAUAUUAGGUGAUAGUGGGCACACUCCUUCUCCUGUAUUAUUAACUCCAAUAUUGGAUGCUGCAGAAGGGACACCUGAAGCUGCUUACACCUAUGAUCAUGUAAGAACACGUUGUCGUGUAGAGCAAACAAUUGGAAUGUUUACCAAUAUAUGGAGAGUCAUUAAAAGAGCUUGAAAACUUAUGUAUGAACCACAGGAAUCGAAUAAUUCAAGAAUAUUAUAGGUAUCAUUUAGCUUUUUCUAAAUUGUAAUGUACAAUUCGUGGUACAGAAUAAGUUAUAAAAGUGUAUGAUUGUAUAAUAAUUAAAAAAAAAAUAAAUCAACAUAAAUAUUAAAAAGAU